GGGGAUGUAGCUCAAACGGUAGAGCGCUUGCUUUGCAUGCGAGCAUCUCCA
rnacentral:tRNA from 1 species